UUGAGAAGAUCCAACAGUGCACCCAUGAUAAAUGGCUUAAGUGAUAACUCCCAGGUGUUCCAGAGAGAGGUCCUGCGUAGCCGGAGAAAUAGCACCACAGUUGUCAACAGGCCCAACAUGGUCCCUUCAUCACUGUUCGCAUCCCCAGCUCCAGACUUCAUCAGAUAAAACAAGAGGGGGUGUGGAUGUGAUGAACAGAGAAACUGCCCAUGAGCGGGAGGUUCAAGCUGCCAUGCAAAUGAGCCAGUCCUGGGAAGAAAGCCGAGUCUGAGUGACAAUGAUUUGGAGAAGUCGGCAUCUUCGUCUCCAAAGCGUCGACUUUGUGCCUGUGUCGCCCUGCACCAUCUCAACAAGAGGGAUAGGAAAAAAAGGUACAUCUGACCUCCGUGUUUUUACAUGCACAUAACCGGAUUAUACUAUGAGAGGAAGGUAGUAGUUAAAGCAUUUUCAUGGUCUGCUGUAAUCUGAUUUCACUAACAACUUGCAGUCAGAUUGAUGAAUGGAAGUCUGCGUGGCAGCCUACAGGAAGCAAUUUGGUUGGUGCAGCUUAAAAAAAUAGACUGUAUUUUAGUGCAAGCCACACCAGUGUUGGUUAUAGAAACACUUCUUUACAUCUGAUUUUUGAAGUUGAUCAAAAGGUUGUUAAUUGGCCGCUGGUCGUAAUUAUACAAACUUCUUAAAUAUACUAAAAGAAGGGGCGACCUCUAGUUCCUGCAUUCCACGUGCUAUUCUUCCUAAGGUCCUUACAACUCACUUGAAAAUGCGGCAAUAAAUCACAUAACAUCAUAAACCAUAAAAAAUUUAAAUUGUAAGACAAUAAAAAACAAAACCAAAAAAAACGUACACUAUCAUUUAUGGCAACUCAUAAAUAAAGUGAAUCGUUGGUAAACGGCCGCCCUUGCGUGAUG